UUUAUGUGUUCAUGUGCAUGUGGAGGCCACAGGUUGUCAUCAGUGUCUUUUUCUAUUGUGACACAGGUAUCAUUUGAGACGUGAUCUCUCAAUUAUGCUGGGCCUCACUGGUUUGGCUAGAAUGGCUAGAUGGCUACUGCCCGGUGUUGCUCAUGGCUUUCAUGUUAAGGAGUUUCUUCCCCAUUAUCUUCAGUCUUUUCUACAUCUAGAGUGGCAAGAGGGACCUCCCAUUGUGAACUAUAGCCUUGAGAAGUUCCAGGCAAGGCUGGUGUCCUUGGAUCUUGUGGUUGAGGGAAGCUGCCCAGGCAGUCAUAAGAACAGAGAAGCUGGCAGAGGCGGGAGACUACACCGGCUACGUAGAAGGAUCACAGGGCAAGCAAAAGGUUUCUCCUCUGCACCAGUAGCCAACAGGGUUUGCACUACUCAGUGCCAGCCAGAGGCUGCACCAAUGCCCAGCAAAUCUGGCAGACCUGCUUACAGGGCAUGCUCCAUAACUUGCAACUGUACAUGGACUUUAGUAAGAGAGCUCCUAAAACACAGGGUCUCCCAGAUAAUGCACACAUAUGGAGAGGGCCUAAAGAGUUGCAUAGACUCCCCAGUGUGAAGAAAGGCAGCUACAAACUCACAGUAAUGUAUUUAUUUAGUGUGUGUGUGUGUGUGUGUGUGUGUGUGUGUGUGUGUGUGUGUACAUAUGUAGAGAGGUCAGAAAUCAAUGUAGUUGUUUUUGAACCCAGAGCUCACUGAUUUGGAUAGGUUGGCUAGCUACUGAGUCCCAAGGAUCCUGCUGUCUCUGCUUCCCCAGUGCUGGGGCUGCAGAUAUGUACCACAUUACCCAACAUUUUAUAUGAGUUCAGGGGUCUGAACCCAUAUUUGCAUGGCAAACAGUUGGCUGACUGAACCAUCUCCCCAGCUUUUACAUGGAUGCCUCUAUACUUUCCUGCAGGGAAUUACUUGGUUUUUUGUAGUUUGACAGUCGGUUCUCCCUUGGCUAUGGUGAUACCUGAACAAACCAGGCUCACACUGUGACAAAAUGAUUAGAACAAACACCAGGGAAAAGUUGUUGAACUCCAUUGCACUCAGAAUACAAAAGUCAUCUUCCCAAAGACAGAAAAAUCUUCAUCUCUCUUGAUUUCAAUAUCAGCACAGUUGUGUGUGUGUGUGUGUGUGUGUGUGUGUGUCUGUGUGUGUGUGUGUGUGUCUGUGUGUGUGUCUCUGUGUGUGUCUGUGUGUGUCUGUGUGUGUGUGUCUGUGUGUCUGUGUGUAUCUGUGUGUGUCUGUGUGUGUGUGUGUUGUGUCUGUGUGUGUGUGUGUGUGUGUGUGUGUGUCUGUGUGUGUGUGUGUUGUGUGUGUGUGUGUGUGUGUGUGUGUGUGUGUGUGUGUGUGUGUGUGUGUGUCUGUGUGUGUGUGUGUGUGUGUGUCGUGUGUGUGUGUGUGUGUGUGUGUGUGUGUGUGUGUGUGUGUGUGUGUGUGUGUGUGUGUGUGUGUGUGUGUGUGUGUGUGUGUGUGUGUGUCUGUGUGUGUGUCUGUGUCUGUGUGUGUGUGUGUGUGUGUGUCUGUGUGUGUGUGUCUGUGUGUCUGUGUGUUUGUGUGUCUGUGUGAUCUGUGACUCUUUCACUUGUGCAUUGUGUCAUGCACUUCACCAGAUUCAUUUUUUCAGAAGGAAAAAAAAAAGAAGUCCUGGAAAAACUUUCUUUCCUAGAGCUCAGAAUCACACAGAUACCCACGCUUUCAGAUGUGCCACCUAGUAACCCCUUGGGGGCUCAGUGACAGCCUCUCGUAGAAUGUGCAACACACCAACACAUAUCCCGGGGUGUGCUGAUUGGAUAGAUUCUGGAGCCAAUGACCAUGGCUUCAUAGGAGAACUUGAGAUGUCUCAGGAGUCACUAUUCUGAACUACUCCGUAAUGAGUAACUUAUUAAAGUGCUUACCUGCUCAUUUAGAAUAAUCGACUGUCAGCUCCUGCCCAUUCUCCAUGCCAGCCUUAGCUUUUCAUUUGCCCUGCCCCCAUAAGACCCGGAGACUAACAGGGGAACCUGUGGGAUCUGCUGCCAAUUAGUUCCUCCUUUCCCAAAGUUAAUUUGCCUUAAUUAGAUAUUAAUAAUAACUGAAUCAGGCCCUUCUCUUACACAGGAAUUUGGGGAGCUAUAUUCAACUUUAUGGAGAUUAUUGGUGAAUUCUCUCUGAUUGCCUGUGUCAUCUAAGAGGUGCUUUUUGUCUUCUGUUUGUGGUCCAUGUUAGGUUUGUGUUCCAAUGUGAAUUCUGUAUCUGUGUCUGAGUUGCAAGGCAAAGAAGGAAGGUCACGCCCUGCACCACAACCCAGUGGACCCCAGGGGUGGCUCUUGGGGUGGAAAUUAGCAGGGGAAGGAUUCAAUGUGGUACCUAAGGUAACCAAAACCAAAAUCCCUGAAGGUUCAGAGGGCUCUACUCCAACCUUGAAGAUAGUAUACAGGUUUUCUGACUCUGUCCUACUCCUUAGCAAUCUUGGCUUCACAGAGUCUCUGAAGUCCCAUGUCCCAUCUAUGACUAUAAAAGUAUUUAAAGCCACAUAAAGAAUGCAAGGCUGUGCAGACUCAUGUGCUGAUAUAUGACACAUCACGGUUUGAUACACACUGCAAGGCUAGGCUCUGGGCUGACAGGAGCUUCUAAAUAUCAGGUUUCAAUCCAUAUAUUAUAGGCCCUGCCUCAGAAAGGGAGUAUCCCCUAACAAGGCUAUAAUAUAUAAAACGCCUCAAGACCGGCAGGAAAAGUUUCAUGACUACUUAUGUGACAUUGAGUCUUAUUAGCAGUCAUGUGAUCAUAUUAUUGUGAGACUUUGGAAUAUGGAUAUUUAUAAAAAUAUUUCAAAUCCAAACCAUACAUUAUAAAAAAUAACAAAUCUUCCAUUGUGCCUUUUUUAAAAAGUAGAAGUACAGAGAGCUAGAAAUACCUAUUAAUGUUCCUUAUUGAUGAAAUACUCAUUUUCUAAAACUACUCAAUCAUUUUCAAAUGUGGUGAAUGCUAGGAAGGAAUUGUGUUUUCUCUGUGGGUCAGUUAUAGUGUGAAUCACUGAAAAGAAAGUAACUGAUAAUAGAAAAACUCAGAAAGUUUAUCUUGAAAACUUACUCCAAAUGUUGGAGGUGGGAUGGGAAGAAGAGAGGCAAUGGGUAUGUGAAUAGAUCAACUUUUUUUCAUGGCAGGACUGAAGUGAUGAUCUCUCAAAUACAUAGUUUUGCACAGGAAUCCCCUUUGCAUUAUCUGGAAUUUUAACUGCAUGCUUCUAUGGUGAAACCUAAUAAGCAGAGAUGGAUUGAAAUUUGUGUCAUGACUUUUGACAUGGAAGGAAGUUACAUGCCAGUUUGCAUGCUACUUAUAUCCUUCUUUUUCUAAUGUAUCAUUCCCAGGGUUGAAUAAAGCAGAAAGCAGAAUAGAUCA
rnacentral:lncRNA from 1 species